rnacentral:rRNA from 1 species
GACGAACGCUGGCGGCGUGCCUAACACAUGCAAGUCGAGCGAGUGGAGUUCUUCGGACCAAAGCUAGCGGCGGACGGGUGAGUAACACGUGGGCAACCUGCCUCAUAGAGGGGAAUAGCCUCCCGAAAGGGAGAUUAAUACCGCAUAAGAUUGUAGUUUCGCAUGAAGUAGCAAUUAAAGGAGCGAUCCGCUAUGAGAUGGGCCCGCGGCGCAUUUGCUAGUUGGUGAGGUAACGGCUCACCAAGGCGACGAUGCGUAGCCGACCUGAGAGGGUGAUCGGCCACAUUGGGACUGAGACACGGCCCAGACUCCUACGGGAGGCAGCAGUGGGGAAUAUUGCACAAUGGGGGAAACCCUGAUGCAGCAACGCCGCGUGAGUGAUGACGGCCUUCGGGUUGUAAAGCUCUGUCUUCAGGGACGAUAAUGACGGUACCUGAGGAGGAAGCCACGGCUAACUACGUGCCAGCCGCCGCCGUAACAC